rnacentral:rRNA from 1 species
ACGUAGGUGGCAAGCGUUGUCCGGAAUUACUGGGUGUAAAGGGAGCGUAGGCGGGAAGAUAAGUUGGACGUCUAAUCUAUCGGCUCAACCGAUAGUCGCGUUCAAAACUGUUUUUCUUGAGUGAAGUAGAGGUAAGCGGAAUUCCUAGUGUAGCGGUGAAAUGCGUAAAUAUUAGGAGGAACACCAGUGGCGAAGGCGGCUUACUGGGCUUUAACUGACGCUGAGGCUCGAAAGCGUGGGUAGCAAACAG